rnacentral:lncRNA from 1 species
GAAGCUUACUUUAAUGCCAACGAGAGAAGAGAGGGAGAGUUUCUUUCACUUAACUGAAAAUCUUGAAAUCACAAUACGAAUGAGACACACAGAGAUUAGUUCAAGUAAACCACCCCUGAGAACUUAUAUUUUACUAUUAGAAAUCUCAAGGCAAUACCCAUCCAAAAAAAAACAAAAUUGACAAAACGAAAGGUGACAAAAUCUUUAAGUUUCUUGAAAUUUUAAUUUAAGAUCUUCAUCAAUCAUUGACAAAAUCUUGAUAAUCAUCUUGAUUAUUAGAAACCUUAAGAUACUGCAUGAAGUACAUGUCAUCCAUCCCCCGCCUA